rnacentral:rRNA from 1 species
UACAAUGGACAGAACAAAGGGCAGCGAAACCGCGAGGUUAAGCCAAUCCCACAAAUCUGUUCUCAGUUCGGAUCGCAGUCUGCAACUCGACUGCGUGAAGCUGGAAUCGCUAGUAAUCGCGGAUCAGCAUGCCGCGGUGAAUACGUUCCCGGGCCUUGUACACACCGCCCGUCACACCACGAGAGUUUGUAACACCCGAAGUCGGUGAGGUAACCUUUUAGGAGCCAGCCGCCGA